rnacentral:rRNA from 1 species
UACGGGGGGGACGAGCGUUGUUCGGAUUUACUGGGCGUAAAGGGCGCGUAGGCGGACCUUCAAGUCGGAUGUGAAACCUGUCGGCUUAACUGACAGCCUGCACCCGAUACUGUUGGCCUUGAGUACGGGAGAGGAGAGCGGAAUUCCUGGUGUAGCGGUGAAAUGCGUAGAUAUCAGGAAGAACACCGGUUGCGAAGGCGGCUCUCUGGAACGAUACUGACGCUUAAGCGCGAAGGCUUGGGGAGCAAACAGG